CCUACGGGAGGCAGCAGUAGGGAAUCUUUCACAAUGGGCGAAACCCUGAUCGAGCAACGCCGCGUGCAGGAAGAAGUCCUUCGGGUUGUAAACUGCUUUUAUCAGCGAGGAAUAUGAUGUUAACUGAUGACUAAAGAUUGGCCUACAACUAGCCAGCAGCCGCCAUCGUCCGUAGGACCUGAGCAUUAUCCGGUGUGCGUGGUUGUUAGGAGUGGCGUAGGUGGCAUAGUAAGUAGCUAGUGAAAUCUGGUGGCGCAACCAGUCAGACUAUUAGCGAAACUGCUAAGCUAGAGACUGAUAGAGGUAACUGGAAUUACUGGUGUAGGAGUAAAAUCCGUAAAUAUUAGAAAGAACACCAAUAGCGUAGGCAGGUUACUGGGACGGUUCUGACACUAAGGCACGAAAGCGUAGGGAGCAAACGGGAUUAGAUACCCCGGUAGUC
rnacentral:rRNA from 1 species